rnacentral:rRNA from 1 species
AGGACGAACGCUGGCGGCACGCUUAACACAUGCAAGUCGAACGGAGUUAUCGAGAGCUUGCUUUUGAUAACUUAGUGGCGGACGGGUGAGUAACACGUGAGCAAUCUGCCCUUAAGAGGGGGAUAGCAGUUGGAAACGACUGAUAAUACCGCAUAAGAUAGUAGUACCGCAUGGUACAGCUAUAAAAGAUUUAUCGCUUAAGGAUGAGCUCGCGUCUGAUUAGCUAGUUGGUGAGGUAACGGCUCACCAAGGCAACGAUCAGUAGCCGGACUGAGAGGUUGGACGGCCACAUUGGGACUGAGACACGGCCCAGACUCCUACGGGAGGCAGCAGUGGGGAAUAUUGCACAAUGGAGGAAACUCUGAUGCAGCGAUGCCGCGUGAGGGAAGAAGGUUUUAGGAUUGUAAACCUCUGUUGACAGGGACGAUAAUGACGGUACCUGUUGAGGAAGCUCCGGCUAACUACGUGCC